rnacentral:tmRNA from 1 species
GGGGCCGUAACGGUUUCGACAGGUUAGGGAAAUCCAGCCUAUGAUUCAGGUCGAGAGCGCACCCACUCUCGUAAAACAAGGUCGCAAACAAAAUGUAACUGCGAACAACAUUGUUCCUUUCGCUCGCAAGGCUGCACCUGUUGCUGCCUAAUCUAUAACCUAAACACUUUAAGGUUUCGAGCAUCCGCUAGUUGACUCCGUUAAGGCUACUGGAUCUACCCCAACGGAUUUAUCAACCCAGUUCCUCUGGUGGCUCGGUUGGUGAACAUUUCACCAGGGACUUCCUGGUUACUGGGAACCAUCAGUAACUCCUGCCUUGCGGAUUAAAAAGGCUAAGCCUGUGAAUGAGUAGAUGGUCAAUACUUAGUCUGGACAGCAGUUCAACUCUGCUCGGCUCCAUUC